rnacentral:rRNA from 1 species
AUACUUAGGGUGCGAGCGUUAAUCGGAAUUACUGGGCGUAAAGCGAGUGUAGGCGGCUAUAUAAGUCGGAUGUGAAAGCCCCGGGCUCAACCUGGGAAUUGCAUUCGAAACUGUAUAGCUAGAGUUUGGUAGAGGUAAGUGGAAUUCAGGGUGUAGCGGUGAAAUGCGUAGAUAUCCUGAGGAACAUCAGUGGCGAAGGCGGCUUACUGGACCAAAACUGACGCUGAGGCUCGAAAGCGUGGGGAGCAAACAGGAUUAGAAACCCUAGUAGUCC